GCCUGGAACCGCCUGCCCGCGCCCCCUGGCGGCCGCGGGGGCGGGCGGGGCUCUCGUGGGCCAUGGCAGCGGUGCGGGCGUGUUUCGUGGGCAAUGGCAGCGGAACGAGGGAAGCCCCUCACAGCCGCCCAUUAGGGGUGGUCUGGUGGCGGGCGGAGCGUCCGCCCGCUCACCUGUGGAGAAGGCGGCUGGUUAAAGCUUAACCCGAGCGGGCUGAGCAGGCGUUUUAGGACAGUCGUCGCAUCUCGCCUGACUCGUCUUGCAGGGAGUGCUCAGGGUCUGGAAGCGGCCGCUGCCCGAGGAGGCAGGCUCGGUGCUGCGGCUGCUGGAGAGUCCUCGGCCUCCUCCCCGUGUCCGGCGUGUCUCCAAACGGGUCAGCAGCCUGGGCAGCGCCGGGGCUGGCAGCGGCCCCUGCACAGCAGCCGUGCCCCAGCGGCCCACCACGCAACAGGUCACCACCUGCUCGAGAGAGGCCCACAGCCCUCCCUGCCUUGUUGGCCUUUGCUGAAAUUGAAGUGUCUCUUGGCUCCAAGCCAUGUGAAAGCUUUGAAGCAUGUGGGUUAUGGGCACCGGGUUUGGCCACCCCGUUAGUCGACAGUGUAAGAAACAGCACUCGGUUCAGCACCGCAAGCUGUUCCUCCUACACCAGUCAGAUCACGUCCAGUGCUCACACCGGUGUGUGGUGUAUAUAAAACCUCACGGAAAUUAAGAGGUCCUUCUACUGAGAGUCGUAAAAGGAACUCUGCUUAAUUCUGGAUCAGAUGACUAAUAAAAAUACAAAUGAGUAAGAUCUGCAAUUUUUCUAAAGGAAUAUGGACAGAACCUUUAAAGAUUCAGUGGCGCUCAGUCUGUCAAAACACUUGAGCAGCUGUAAGAUCAGAACUCAAAGGCCGAGCAAGGAUGCAGCCACCUAGGAGGCUGAUUAAGGCUUUCUAGGUUUGACUGAGAAGGGAACAGAACAAGGACACCUGAGAAAGAUGCUGAUUUCAGCCUGUUUAAACUGUUUCAUUGAUGUAAGUCCUCUGUUUCUGCAAGUACAUGAAACACUGGUCCAAAGAAAGAUUUUCAUCCAUACCCUAUUUUGAAAGGUCAAGUAGCAACAGCAAUGAACACAUGACAGCCAAAAAAAUUAAAAGGCAACACAGGUACCUGUUCGAAAGUCCUCUUUUCAUCAUUUCAACACUCACCUUCUCCUAAUUUUCUCCAUCUCCUUAUGACAUUGGGUGAACUUUGUCUCACAAAAAGAUAAGAAAAAGAUUAUGCACCAAAUUACUCAGCUGACUCCCAAUUCUGACACUCUGCAAGGAAAGUGGUAUGUAGAUGCUAUCUUUACAGGGUGAACUUUACCUUACCUUUCACAACCCAAUUUCAAAUAAAAUAUAUUUAUAACAUUUCUCUUAAUGUUGCCCUUUUCAGCUUGUUGCAUUUUUUUAUAUCUUUGAACUUGUUACAGUUUCCUAGAAUUUAUAGUUCCAGAAUAAUUUAGAUAAUUAGGAAAACUAAAUUGUUAGUGUUACUUUAAGUGCAUCCUUAUCAAUGAGAAACACAGCUCAGCGCUGAACUGUCAUAUCCAGCUUAACAGCAGUAGUGUACAUCAAAAGUUAGCCUGCUCUAUGUUAUUAAAAGUUUUUUGGGGAGUAAGAAGUCAGAGUUCCUUGGGAUAUUUAUAGUAUUUAAGAAUGCUUUUAAGUGACUUGUAAUGGCAGAUGCCAUAGGGUACUCCGUCGUAAGUGGUUUUCCUAUUCAUAACAAGUAAUGCAUAUUAUGGCACGUUUCAAGCCAGGCCCACAGUAAACUUUGUAGAAAAAAUAAAUUCCAUUUGGAUCUUGUUAAUGCCAUGUUGUGUUUUGAUUUUUGUUUUGAAUACAGCUCUUAAGUGGAAUUUUUAGCCCUGAAUUUGAUAGUAUGUACUUCAUGAUGGACUUCAUUGGAUUACAUUUAAAGCUCCAACACAAGUAUCAAUGGCACAAGCUGAAUGGUGUUACCGUGGGGUAAAAAAUUGACUUGUUACGACAGAACUAACCUCUGAAUGGCUUGGGUGAGAGGCCUGCGUAGUGAGAGUCCUGCUCUUCCAAAUGCUGGCUCCUUUCUCCCUUCCACAAACUAUCUCGUCCUACCUCUACUACACAGCCUCUCACCAGGAGUGCAUUCUCUUCACCCAGGGUAUGUAGUUGUGGAUUGCUGCCCCUGCAAACAUCAAGAUGGCUACAGCACAUCCUGGCUUGGAUUAGAGGAGCAAAAGGGACUUGGAGGGCCAUUGGGAACUCAGAAGGACUGGGAUACCAGUUCUGGAAUCUAAACAAGCUCCAGUCACUGCUCCAGAAAGGUCCCAGACAUGGAGCUAACAGUUGUCAAUGUGCUGGAAAGACUGAGUUAGAAAUUAUUGACCUGUAAGUGGUAGGAUCAAUUCACAACACCACAAAUCCUCCUAGAACAGGACCAGGCCACAUUCUAACAGAAAUUGCCAAAUUUGAUCAGAUUUGAUGUUUCAUUCAGGCUUCUCCAGACUAGAAAGCCCCACUCCCUUGGAAAUGACACAGGUUCUCAUAUUCCAUGUGUGAGCCUAUUAGCACCACUACAAGAGUUUUUAUCUUCUUUCAAACCGCACAUUUCUGUCCUGUAUGCACCAGUCCCACUUGCUGCCUCUGGCCUUACCUUUGCUUCUAGCCCUGAUCCCUUCCAACUGCUGCUCUUUGUCAUCCAGUCAUAAACAACCCUUUUAACACGUAUGCUCAGCUGCCAGCUUGCUUCUCUUCUAGGAUGGCUGUGGUUGCUGAUUAUUCAAAGUUACACUGUAAUUGGCAAGUAACAACUGAUUUCACAGCUGUUUCAGAACUACCAAAAAAAUAAAUUUGGAACUUCAGGGGCAUAGAUAAAACUAUUCACAGUUGCUGUUAAAUAGAUUAAAAAAUAGGUCAGUCAUCUUUCACUUCUACUCUUUCCUCAGCCAUGUAACAUCACCUGUGAGGAUUUUCCUUUUGUAAGUUACACAGCUCCCUUAAUCAGCACUUCUUGCCUGUUUAAUAAAAAUCAAAGAAUCUGGACUGGGAGCUUCUCAUGUGUUCUCAGUUGAGGCUUCUAGUCCAAACUCCAUCUUAAGCACUGUUAGCAUGUUCCUCAGUGGGAAGAUGUAGCUCUGCUGAUUUCUGAGUGGUUUUUUUCCUUGUUUUUUUUUUUUUUUUUUUUUUUUCAUUUUAAUACAUUUAUGUAGAACUAAGCAGAUAAGACUCUGUGUAGUGUGCCUCAGCACAUUACUUGAGUCACUCUGGCUUUGUCAAAGGACUGAAUUGACACCCAUCUUGGUUUACAGCUCUGCUUGUAGCUGCUGAGUCCUGCCAUAGUUCCACAGCCUCUUAACUCAACAACCUGUCUUUUUUCCUGUCAACACAGCUUUUCUCUAAAGAAUGCUAUUGACCAAACAAAUACCUUCAGAGGGGAUGAGACUGCUAUUGCAUGCGUAACUUUUUUAAAAAGUCAGUCAUCUCCUGAGUUGAUGAGAAUUGGGGGAAUUCCGUGUUAUAAAUACACAGAUGUUAUUAGUACAUAUACGGCUUGCUUGAAGACAAAGCCAUCACUCAGGAGACUUUGGCAUAUAGAGAGAAAUAUAAGCAGGAGACGUUUAGUUGUGUCCUAGUGAAUUAUAUACCAGAUGCAGAGAUUGGGGAUUAUGAGGAUUAUUUUUGAACAGUUGGGCAUUUAAGUCUUCCACCAUUUCUAAAUGCUCUAGGUGAAGCAGGGGCUGGAAGAAGAAAAGGCAGAUUCUAGUGGCAAGAGAAAUCUUUAUAUUGCUACUAGCCUACAGUUUCAGUUAUUGCCUUUAAUUAUUCUUGAAUUGUAUCAUAUUAGGCAUGGCUUAUUCAGGUGUUUCUCAGGGGCAAUGAGUGUUUUGUUUCAGCAAAGCGUAAUUGUUACCAAAAGAGUGACUCCUAGCAAGUAACAAUUCAGUACAGAAAUGUAGAUUUCUCAUUUAGAGAAAACUGUUUUUAAGAUGUGUGGUCACUGAGAGAACAGACUUGGGUUGGUAUAAACUAGUUAUUAAAUAGCUUUCUGAUAUGAGGCAUGGUAUAGGUCUGAAUGUGAUUAAGUUAGCAGGAAUUCUGCCACUCUUUGGUGACAAUGACAUUGAGUCCUGAACUGAAAAAUAGGAACAUCUUAGCAAGAGAGUAGCUAUUCUGAAUAAUUGAAGUAAAGUAUUAGAAAAUUUCAGGGUAAAUCAAAAGAGCAGACCUCAGCAUGAGUACUUAAAAAGAACUACAGUGGUUGAGAUCCAAUUAUUAGGCAAAGACUGAGAAGCUUAAAAAAUCCCUCAUGUUGCAGUUUACCAUUAUCGGUCUUUAUUUCGUGGUGAUGGCGUGAUUAACAUCUGACUAUGAAGGCAGCUCAACUCCCUUCUAAUACUGCUUUAGCUGUUGGUAAUACUACCAGCUCUAGCAGAAUCUCUAAACCUACUUUUCAGCCUAUUAGUACAGGAAUAAUUUGUUUCUCAACUGUUACUUUGAAACAUAUUGAUUUUUCAGCCUACACGUUUUUACUUGUUUGUGAUCUUAUCUUACUCAAAUUUCAGAACCACACAAUUCACUGCUAAGAUAAAGAAUGCAAAAUUAUUCACACAGUUUGGCUUCAGACAAACAAAUGCAACUCGACACAAACAAAGAGAGUUGUAUCCAAGCAUUAUUUGCCUGUGUUCUUAAUAUUUCAAUACUUUGUGGAAAAAGCAAGUUGGGUAACAAGCUGUUUUGACUUCACUUCCAGUACACUUUCAGGUUUCUCUAGUCUCCAAAGCCAAGAAUCCAGUCUAAAGAUGCCACAAAGCUUCAGCAUGCUUUAGGCAAGGCAGUGCUGUGCUUUUUUUUCAAUCUUUGUUGCUGUGCUUUGGAAUAAAAUUAGAGUUUUGCUGUAGGUAAAAAGAAAAGCAGUCUAAGAUGUUACCUAAAUCUUCCAUACUUAUUCCAUAUAUGAUUUAUGCUUAGAGAAAAGAACCUUGGGUUGGAGCUGGUUAGAUUUGCUUUUUCUGCUGAAACAAGCUCUGAGCUUGAAGCAUUUCAUUGGAAGCACUCUGCUUUGACGAACUUUCAGCAAUCAGAGCUGAGGCCAAUCUCCCCAGAAUGGGGCACCAUGCCAGCCAGGUCUCCAGUCUCCAACCUGCUGGCAAAUGGUCUGUGCCUAGAGCAUCCAAAUCAUCCAUUUGAUACCAGCUGACACAACUUCCUCAAAGAAUAAUUGUGACUUUUCCAGGAAAAGCUCAAGCCUUACAAGUGUCGAUGUUGGCAUGAGACUGUUUCUCUUGCUAUCACGUAGGAAACAGGGCCAGCUUUGUAGAGAGCAACUGCUUGACUGCUCUGGGUUAUUAAACUGGCAGCUUGAAAGUCAACCUUCUGCAGUCCCAGAAAUCUUCUGAGAGUUUGCAAGCCUGAACUGUGGCCCUGUGAAGGACUGCACUUUCUAGCAAAGUAGAAUCUGUUUUGAUUCAUUUUGUGGCAACUUGUUUGUCCCCAUUGGUACCAUGGAGGACAGGACCUGACUUUUUGAAAAACCUUUGUUUGUCCCCAGCAGGACUUGACACUCCUUGCCCAUGUUAUGCAAGGCUGGCCUACCCUACAUGUGACAGAAUUGUCAGGCAAGAUUUACCACCACCUUUAUUUACAGACAGGGCUACUCUUUCAAUCUCGACCAAAUGGAAAGUGUUUGCCAAUUUGUGUUUUAUUUUAAUUUCCUCUGCACAGAUCUGGAGAGUGCCUGCCUAUAAAUACUUGCUUAUAGGGUACUUGGGAAACCACUGCUUUCUCCAGGGAUUAGAUCCUAUUUUCAAGUCAUAUUUUGCCAUGGAAACAGAGAGGUAAUAAAGGAUCUGAAUUUAAUUUUUCUGCAUCAACAUCUCAGUCAUUCAUUCAUUCAGCCAGGUGGAAAAGCCUCAUUACAAAAUAAGAGCUGCAAUCCAAAACUAUGGUUUCAGUGAAAGUAGGAUCCCAAAGCUAAAAGGCUCACAGUUUAAUAGAGGUAAGCAAUCUUUUCCAAAUCAAAGUAAGUAGUGUGGUGGUACCUAACAAAUAUGAUACACAAAUUUUCAAGUCUUAUUAUAAAAGUUUUCCAGUCAGUUCUGAAUGUGUUUCAGACUGGCCUAUGAAUCAAAAAGAAAUGUAUAUUAAAACAGAGACUAGAAUGUGUGACUGAAUUCUGAUUCAGUCUUUGCAACUGAAUUCCAGACAUCAUAGAAAGACUUUCAAGAUGUUAUUUGAAGUAAUAGAAUACGUAUUUUAAAUAUGUAUUAAAGUUAGGUUAAUCUUGAUCGCAUUUUGCACAAAAACAUUUGGAAAUUCAUGCUAAGGCAAUUUUUUAUUACAUCUUAAUCUUUUAAAGUAUUCAAAAAAGCUAUUGGAAAUUAAAGGCUGUGAU